GCAUGCCCGGCCGAGUGGUUAGUGCUAUGUUUGUUGAACAAGAGGUCUCCGGUUCGAUCCUGGUCGCGCGCA
rnacentral:tRNA from 1 species